GAUGUUAAAAUGGCGAAAUCCAACCAAGCUCGGGUAAACGGCGGGAGUAACUAUGACUCUCUUAAGGUAGCCAAAUGCCUCGUCAUCUUAUGUCAAACUGGGCCCUAGUGCCCAAGCGGUCUAAAGCGGCCCAAGCAGUCUAACCAGUUGAGGCUGGGGUCUAAGGGGUGGGUCUUAGGUCUCCCACCCUGGUGAGCCCAGCCGUGAUGCCUCGGUAGCCAGCGUUGUUCACGUAGCCGCCGAACAGGGGGGGGGGGGGGUAAGGAGGACCUUCGGGACCUCCCCAUCCCCUCCUCUAGUAAGUGACUAAUGGGCCCUUGACUCAGCCCCCCUCACGGGGGGAGGGGGAGGGGGCCUGCACCAAAUUGCAUGGAAGGGACCUGUCUGAACCCCCCCGAGCACCUAGUGCAGACGGGGGGCGAGGGUCCCCGACAAGCAGCCAAGCCGAGGUACGACUCCAGACAAGGGAAGCUCCGAGAGGCAGCCCGGGUCGAGGGGGUGGGUAGUACUGAGGAAGGUUCAGAGACUGAAAGGUGCUCUGGGUUGGGCUUUGGGGGUCUCGAGCCGGUGGACACCAGGGGGGGGUUUACUCCCCUCCCUACCGUCCGUUGGUUCCCCAAGGUCAACAGCCCUAGCUGAUACAGUCCAUCGCCAGAGGGGGAAAAGCUGUAUAAGCGGGUGGCUUGCGCCUCCUUCGGGAGGAAGAGCAUUGGCCAGUGGCUCGGUUGCUUUGUACCCUUCGCCAAAGAUGUUAAUUUGUGACGCGCAUGAAUGGAUUAAUGAGAUUCCCACUGUCCCUACCUACUAUCUAGCGAAACCACAGCCAAGGGAACGGGCUUGGCCCAAUUAGCGGGGAAAGAAGACCCUGUUGAGCUUGACUCUAGGCACAGAAGCGAGGUGAUUCUAAAGGUGUAGCAUAGGUGGGAGGGCCUGGCCCGACCUUGAAAUACCACCACUUUCGACAUCGCUUUGCUAAUGCUGUAACGAAUGGACGGCCCCCCGAUGACUCGGUUGCCUCCGGGCGGCCGACCAACGGGUAAGGCUUCUUUCUGGUGAUUUCCCGGUCUGAUACGGUGGUUUGGCCCCUCUGGGAUAGUACCUCGAGACCAUGAGUUGGGCUUCCGAGCCCGGCGAGUGUUGUUUUGGGGGAACCAGCGACGGUUGAGCUGUCCUCUGUCGGACCUCGUAGGGUACAUAAGCCGUGUAGCAAACCAUCUGUGUUGGGGAGUUUGGCUGGGGCGGAAAAUUGCUACACGGCAACGGCAGUCUCCUAAGGUCCACUCAGAGACGACAGAAACGUCUCGUAGAGCAUAAAGGCAAAAGUGGGCUUAACUUACAUUUUCAGUAGUAAUGUGAAGCAAGAAAUUGAGGCUUAACGAUCCUUAGCGUCGGGUGCCAGCCCGCGCUUGAGGUGAGAGAAAAGUUACCACAGGGAUUGAUUUUCAUGUCGGUGGUCCCAGAGACCACCGAGGCCGUCUUGAUCCAGCGUCCACCAAGCCUUUUGCCGAAAGCCUUCCGAGCCAACAGGAGCACCUUCUACGCCCCCCCCCCCGACUAAGCCGCCAGCCAACUGACCAGCCGCCAACAACCGGACCCCUUGUUAAGUAGUAACCUUCAGCCGCUCUCGAGCCACUGGGAGCAAACAGGUGAACCUCAAGGGGACGUUUGGUCCAACCGUACCCUCGUUAAGUAGUAACCUUCAGCCGCUCUCGAGCCACUGGGAGCAAACAGGUGAACCUCAAGGGGACGUUUGGUGGUUGCUGGGAGGGAGGAUUUUGGGCGCGACGGGGAAAGGAGGUCAAAAGGUAUACAAGCCUCCCCAGUAGCGAGCGAACCAGGGACCUUCUACGCCCCCCCCCCCGACUAAGCCACCAGCCACCUGACCAGUCGCCAACAACCAGACCCUCGUUAAGUAGUACCUUUCAGCCCCUCCCGAUUCACUGGGAGCUAACGAAGGGGAACCUCAAGGGGAUGGUUGGGGGUUGCUGGGAGGGAGGAUUUUGGGUGCACGGGGGAGGGGUCAAAAGGUAUACACCCCCAGUAGCGAAGGCACAAGGAGCCUUCCGAGCCAACAGGAGCACCUUCUACGCCCUCCCUCCCUGAAUAAGCCGCCAGCCACCUGACUAGCCACUGCAACCAGACCCUCGUUAAGUAGUAGUCUUCAGCCGUUCCUCAUACAUCGAGUUCCAUCAUACCUGACCUACGGUUGGGAUAGGUGUUGUCGUUGGGCACAAUGGGAACACAUGAAGGGGAACCUCAAGGGGACGGUUGUGACUGGCUGGGAGGGAGGAUUUUGGGCGCGACGGGGAAAGGAGGUCAAAAGGUAUACAAGCCUCCCCAGUAGCGAGCGAACCAGGGACCUUUUACGCCCCCCCCCCCCGACUAAGCCACCAGCCACCUGACCAGUAGCCAACGACCAGACCCUCGUUAAGUAGUACCCUUCAGCCCCUCCCGAUUCACUGGGAGCUAACGAAGGCGAACCUCAGGGGGACGGUUGGAGGUUGCUGGGAGGGAGGAUUUUGGGUGCACGGGGGAGGGGUCAAAAGGUAUACACCCCCAGUAGCGAAGGCACAAGGAGCCUGGGUCUCACGGCCCGGCGUUCUCAAGUCUCGAUGUCUUCAACGGUAGGUAAUUGGCCUGCCGCGGUAGCACUGACAGGCGACAUACCUCGAUGCGAGAAAAACCCAUACCAAAUGGCGGUAGUACCAGGCUCUCCCAGUAACACUGGGAGCCCAUGUCGAUGAACCUCCAACCUUCGAAAGCUUCGUCUUCCAACCUCCGGGCGGGAAUUCAGGGUCAGUAGGGGGCCAGGGGGGGAGACCUUGGUAAUAACCUACCGUCAGGGUUCACUCGCAGGCAACAAGGCUCAUCCAACCCUCACAGGCAACGCCAUUGUAGUACGCGGCCAACAGAGGUGUCUGAUCGGUGGGCUACGUGUCUCAAAGACUGCAAAGGUAUGGGCUAAGCGAUCGCCUAAACGACCCCUCCCCAGGGGCGCGAUGGGCGGGAGUGCAGCUUAAGGUACAGUCUACUCCUGCCCGCAAGGGAUUCCAGCGAGAGGAGGGCCGGGGGAGGACCAACCAACCCCCUCGGACCACCGUGCCUUGCCUCUUAGGAGGCGGGGUCCUGGAGGGGCACAUGUGCCUCGGGUGCAACCAAACUGGAACUGGCUUGUGGCCGCCAAGCGUUCAUAGCGACGUGGCUUUUUGAUCCUUCGAUGUCGGCUCUUCC
rnacentral:rRNA from 1 species